UCCCUCUAGCUCGAACACUGGGCUCCGCCUCGGCUAUGUAGUCCUCCCAACCUGGGGUGCCCCCCCCCUCCGGCAGCCCGCCUGCCCGGGACCUCCCCACGCGCCCCAGCCCGUUUCCAUGGCAACGCCACGCGGCCCCGCACGUCCGGCACCUUCCCGCCGCAGCCCCGGGGUGCUCUCCGCGCGGGAAGGGCUGGCCGAGGCGGCGCCAGCGGCCUCUGCGGCCCUGCAGCCGCCCUCGCGCUCCUGCCGGGGUCUCCCCCAGAGCCGCGCGCUAGCGGGGGGGCCUGGAGAGGACUUGACAACCGACCUCCAUGGGGCUGGCCGCCGCGGUGCCUGAUCGCAGCGGCUGCGGCCGCACCGCAAAACAUCGCGGCCGGCUCACUUCAGUGCUCCCUGGGGAACCUUUCUACGGCUGGAGGCCCGGCCCAGCUCUGGAGACCCCGCGAGUCUCGGGCUAGCCCGUCGCCCGGCAAGGAGCGGGGUGGGGGGCCCUCCCGGCGACCUGAGGGCAGCUCAGGACACGUCAGUCUUCCCUCUUCCGCCUUCACCCGAGGGGACCUCAGCCCGGCGGAAAGCUCUUUUCCUGGAGCUUGGAGUGGGCCACUCCCCCCAGGCCGAGGCCGCUCCGAAGCUCCCAGGUUUUUCCAGGGCGGGUUGCGGUUGAGACCUGGCUACGAGGACACAAACGCCCUUUUUGGAUAAGCGUUGCCGCGGGUCCGGCCGCCUAUCCCCGGGAAGGUUUGGGUUGGGCGCCCGAGAGCAGUGCCCGCUGCUCGCGCCCAGUGACUGCCCGGGACCCGGAGCCCGGCCGGCGGCUGCGCCCACACCUAGGGGACGCCCGAAGCGUUUGCCGGCUGAACCAAUGGGACUCGCCACCGACUGCUGAGGCCGAGCCCCGAGAGGCGGUUCAAGGUCCUCAACCCGGGCGGGGGUGAGGCUUUGGGCGUCGCUGUGGAAGGACAGCAGAGGACACAGCCCAUACAAGGGUCCUAGAAUCGGAUCUCACCUCACUGCUGCUCUGCCAUCCGUCCUGAAUGGCCUCUCGCCAAAAACCAAAUGCCGUAAAUAAAAAUCUUACCAAGGCUGUACUGGAGGCCUCCCUGACCGUAUAGCGACGGUCCCGUGUCCGACGAUAGGCAAGCCUGGGCCAGGUUUGGUGCAGAGGCACGCAAAGAGAUCGGGUAUUUGCUCUUUUACCCCGUGAACUGGGCAGCCUGACGCUUGUUGUUGUUUUUUGUUUGUUUUUUUAAUGUUAUUUACUUAUUUUUACUUUUGGGUGUGUUGGGUCUUCGUUUCUGUGUGAGGGCUUUCUCUAGUUGCGGCGAGCGGGGGCCUCUGACUGUCGCGGCCUCUCUUGUUGCGGAGCACAGGCUCCAGACGCGCAGGCUCAGUAGUUAUGGCACAUGGGCCUAGUUGCUCCGCGGCAUGUGGGAUCUUCCCAGACCGGGGCUCGAACCCAUGUCCCCUGCAUUGGCAAGCAGAUUCUCAACCACUGCGCCACCAGGGAAGCCCAGCCGCCCACCCCCCGCCCGCCCCCGACGCUUGUUGUUAAUUGCAGAUUAUUCUGGAAAAGUUUAUCCUGUCAAGGGAUCUGCCAUUAGGGAAAUUCCUCUGGAGAUCAGAGCCAGGGGCCGUGACUUCGUUUUGGCCACCUGGGAGCAACUUAAGGUUUCCUUUCCUCGAGUAAAGAAAGUGGAAAAUCUCAAGCGGUUUCUGGCUUGGAAAGCCCUUCAUUUACUCACUUCUGCUCUCUCUGACCCAGCCCUCCUCCCCGCAGGAGGAGGUGAGGUUCCAGGAAGUAGGGGGUUGAGUUUUUUAGAGAAUCAAUGAAUUUUGUAAUCAGAAAAGUAACUUAGAGUGGUUUUGGAAUAAUCUUUUAAGUGACAACCCCCUGGUCUCUAAACCUGGGCCUCCUUCACAAUUAACAGCCGCCCCCCAUAAGAUCAGUGCCACCAAGCCUCCUCUGCUUUUCUCUUGAAUAUCUUCCAAAUUGCCCUCCAUGCUGCCUUGGUUCAGGCCCCAUCCCCUCACCUAAAUUACCAUGACAGCCACCUUGCUAGUCUCUUGGUCAUCUCUCCCCUUGGAUCCAUUUUCCAUACCGCUGCUGCAAGGAUUUUUUCUUUUUUUAGUCUUAAAGAUGUCCUAUUUCCUGCAACAGUGGUUCUUUUUUUAAAAAAAAUUUUAAUACAAUUUUUAAAGGUAACUUUCCAUUUACAGUUAUUACAAAAUAUUGGCUAUAUUCCCCGUGUUGUGCAAUACAUCCUUGAGCCCAUCUUACUCCCAAUAGUUUGUACCUCCCACUCCUCCACCCCUAUAUUGCCCCCUCCCCCUUCUCACUGGUAACCACUAGUUUGUUCCCUAUAUCUGUGAGUGUGUUUCUUUUCAUUAAAUUCACUAGUUUGCAACA